GUAGAGAGAGAACUCGCCAGUUAUGUACAAGUGACUAUCCUGAUUUUCGCUAGCAACUUUCUUUUAUUGUUUUGUAGAAUCUAAAGUUGUUCAAUGUAAGGUGAACAAGUAGUAUUACUAAAAUAAGCUUUCAUUUCAAACCCGACAUCCCGAGUCAUUACUACUAUAUUUUUGUGCCGAGAUCCAGGAAAAGUAUGAGCUGCGAUGAAGAUCAUAGGGAUGAAGCGGCUGAAAUGGCUGACGAGGAACAUCGGCAUGAAGCAGAAAGAAUGAGACGAAAGCGGGCUACCAUUCGAGGUGCCACAAAACGGAUUUUUGAAUCAGAUUGACGUGGAAAUAACCCAGUCAAAUUCGGAUACCGAUCACUUGAAUACAUUGUUAUCAUACAUUGGAAUUGCUAUCAGCUAAUGAGGACAGCUUGUUUGAACUUGAUCGUGGAAUUGAACAGUUAGCGCCAUUGGACGGACUGGAGGCGGAGAAUGCAUGCACAGAGGAUUACAAAGAGCGCAUUAUCAUGCUGAAGAGCAGUGCACAACAAAUUAUAAAGAAAAAACAGGACCUCAAUCCACUACCAGCACUGGUGAGUGUAGGAUAUGGUGACCAUCCCUCUGAUGAACAGGUAACGUUCAACCGACCUCCUCCUCCUCUUGCUUCAGCAACAGAGACCACCGGGGUACCACCUAGUACUAAUAGACAGAGGUGGGGCAAAGUACAACCAAGAAGACAAUGAUUGUUGUUUCUCAUCGAUGUGUCCUGCCUCUACAAGCACACAUACCAUGAACACACUUAGCAUGAUGACCACAGAUGCGAGAGCAGAGAGGAGGAGCAGAGACAGGACCAAAUAUGCAAUAAAUGCUUCUCUCCAGGCUUCUGCACACAGGAAAAUCAAAUUCAUAAGCGCUCAUAAGGCGGAAAGAUAGAACGAUAGAGACACAUCUUCAGCAUGUUCACAGUCCUCUUACAGCAGAUCAUUUCUGGGAUGGGAAGUAAGUGGGAUCUGAAUGUGUGAAUGCUGUCUGUAGGACACUCAUUCACCAGGCUGGUAUAUCUGUGGCAGGAUUCUGCUCUCUCUCUCUCUCUCUCUCUCUCUCCUCCUCAGACAGGGAGAUUGUACAGGAGAGCCAAUCGGAGAGCCAAUCGGAGAGCCAAUCGGAGUCUGAGGGAGAAUACAGCAGCCAACUACUGACACUCAACAAGCCCUGAGAAUCUGAUUCAGUGGAGAGAGUCAGAGAGAGACAGAGAAAGAGAGAUACAGAGAUAGAUAGAAAGAGUGGUUUUGAUUUUCACUAUGAACAUUUUACAUCAAUUUGUGUUUUAUCAUUGCAAGUAAUGUUAUUACCAUGUGUGUAGAGUACUUCUUGUACAUUUCUGAGCUCUGCGCCUUUGUUUUUCCAGGUGAGUUUAGGUUGAGGUGACCAGCCCACUGAUGGACAGGUGAUGUUCACCUGGCCUCCUCCUCCUCUUGCUUCAGCAAGAGACAAAACAGGGAUACCACCUAAUACUAUUGGAAAGAUAGGCAGUUCAACCCCAAAAAUAGAUAGGACUGUUAGAAGUUUUGUUCCAUUUUCCAGAAAUGUUCACAAGUUCAACAAAAUGAGCAAUAGUAGUUUGAUUCUGAACUACAUUCCCACCAAAAGCACAGUAUCUCUCCCUAAAUAAGUUUACAUCACGUGUUAUGUUUGUUUACAGGUUAAUUCAUUGUAGAAACAUACUCCUCUGCUCCUUACCAAUCAGUGUGAGGGACACACUGGCCUUUUCAUACCACUGUUCGCUGCUGACACGGCACACAUACUCCCCCCUGUCUUCCAGUGUGACCCUCUCCAGUGUCAGGGACACGUUCCCUCUCUCCAGCCCCCCAGUUGGAGACACCCUGCUCCUGUAACGGGGGUCCAUAGAUGCCUGGAUGCUGUGGUCCUUUUAUAACAAGGCAGGUCGGUUGAAGUUACCAGGCCGGUACCAACGCACCUCCAACGGCUCUGCACUGAAGAGAGGUGAGAGUUCACAAGGUAGGGAGAGGGAGGUCGUUUAUCCGGGUCAAGAUCGGACCAUGAGGGACCACCAAAGUGAAGACCUCUGGGGUAAUGGGUAACAGAAAGAAGAAUGUACAGUGAAGAAUGAUCAUACACUUUGCCCUGUUUAUGCACUCGGUGUUGUUACAUUGGACAAGGAAGAGUAGUUAUUUACUCAAAAAUGCUUUGUAAACAUUCUUACCAGGGUUUAUGAGCUGGGAUAGGAUCAGUGACAACUGACAGUAUCAGCACCCUCGUAAAUACCCCUGUGUUGAAGAGACAGGACAACAACACUGUUACAUUACCCAGCUACAUGUAUAAAUCAAUCAAACGGUCAUGUGAACACAGUUUCAUGUGUGUUGGGAAAAUAUCUUUAAAAGAAACAGGUCAUUUACAUGAUGCACUUUGGAAUUUCAGACAAAGGGACAGUGUGUCUGACAGUGUUAUGCAUUUAUUGCCAUUCACAUGCCAACUUCAACCCACAUAAAAGGCAAUGAAAUGACUACCGGACAAUGUUGCAACGAUCAUGUGACUUUCACUGAUCACAGUAGAGAUUGAAACGGACUAAAAGUCUUGAACAAAACAUAAAAUGCUGUACGAACGUAAUCCUUAUUUUGUUAAAUUUGUUAAUAAACUACUCAUUUAAACACCA